rnacentral:lncRNA from 1 species
CUAAAAAUGACAGUAUAUUGCUUUGUGCUGCGUAUUACAAUGUGUGUUACAAAUGAUAGAUCCCCCUUUAUAUAGUAGGGGUGUCCUACUCUUGAUACAAUUCUAUACAAGGUAAAAAAUCUCAUGAUUUGCUAAUUAACCGGCCUCUCCUUGAUACGUGCCACGAUUUUUGCGGUGAUCUUCAACUGAUCUCGGAUAUUUUGGUCUUCUGUUAUUCGGCUCGGCAGAUUUCCCUCGAUCUCGUGUGGUCUCAAUCUUGUUCAGUCCCGGGAUCACGAGCUCAACGAUGUCGUCGCACCCCUUUUCCCCCCUCUUAUGCAUCGGGAGAUCGGGUUUAUGACAUUUUAGGACAACUCAUUCCUUUUGGGAACUGGGUACAUUUGAAGAGUCGUCACCUAAUGAUUUAAGGUGCAUUAGGACACCUAUAAGGGUUCAUUUCUAAGUUCGUUUGAUAACCNNNNNNNNNNNNNNNNNNNNNNNNNNNNNNNNNNNNNNNNNNNNNNNNNNNNNNNNNNNNNNNNNNNNNNNNNNNNNNNNNNNNNNNNNNNNNNNNNNNNNNNNNNNNNNNNNNNNNNNNNNNNNNNNNNNNNNNNNNNNNNNNNNNNNNNNNNNNNNNNNNNNNNNNNNNNNNNNNNNNNNNNNNNNNNNNNNNNNNNNNNNNNNNNNNNNNNNNNNNNNNNNNNNNNNNNNNNNNNNNNNNNNNNNNNNNNNNNNNNNNNNNNNNNNNNNNNNNNNNNNNNNNNNNNNNNNNNNNNNNNNNNNNNNNNNNNNNNNNNNNNNNNNNNNNNNNNNNNNNNNNNNNNNNNNNNNNNNNNNNNNNNNNNNNNNNNNNNNNNNNNNNNNNNNNNNNNNNNNNNNNNNNNNNNNNNNNNNNNNNNNNNNNAUAUAAUAUGGAUCACAUCAAUGCGAUACCUGGUAUGACAUUACAUGUCCCAUUCCUAUCAGUCCCGGAGAAACUUAGGACUACUAUUCCUAAAGGGGGGGAUAUUAGGCUGACUUUUCGGUUUCAAAAGGUGAAAAAACUAAGGCGACAUACAAAAACACACAGGACUGCAUAUUAGGGGAAACAUGUAAACAACCAAAAGGCUCAUGUAUGCCUCCUCAAAUAAAACACAUAAAUAGCAUGACUUAAACACAGUUAAGGUCUGAAUUUAAAAUACUAAGGCAAGGAGAAUUUUAAUCGUUGAGGCAGACCAGUUUAUUACAUAACUCAGAUAAGAAGUCCGAAUCAGGUAUGUCUGCUGGUUGUAGCAGUAACUGUCUAACAAAAGCGGGUUCUUUGUUAUCGCCUAAGGCUUGCCUAAGGGUUUGGGCGAGAUCCUAUGAACAUGGUAUCUACUACUGAUCCAGAACGUGGCAAAGCAAUAAUAGUUUUAAACGAACGAUUUGGAUCCUAUAGGCAUUCUUUCUAACUGCGUUAAAGUAAAGAGUAAGGUUGUUUAAAACUGAUUUAGGGUCAAACUGAUUUUAAAUUGGUUUCAGAUCAUAUAGGCAGGAUAUCUAGUAUUGCUCAUUUUAAUUCCUAUAGACAUGAUAUCUAGCUUGAUUGAAAAAAAUGAAACAGACAGAAUUUACUUCCUAUAGGUAUGAUUUCUACAAAAAGGGGAUUGAUUCUUAACCUUAUGGACAUAAUGUCUGAUUUUAGCCGUUUAGAUCCUAAGAACAAGGUGUCUAAGCAUGGCCAUAACAUGCAGAAUUUUGAAACGAGUCCUAUGGGCAUGUUAUCUAAAUGCUGAAUUAGACGUGCAGAAUUUAACAAAUCCUAUAGACAGGUUCUCUAAAUGCAGAGUUAAACAUGCAGAAAACAAGUCCUAUAGGCAUGGCAUCUAAGAGUGGUAAUAAAUAUGCAGAAAUUUAAACAAGUCUUAUAAGCAUGUCUUCUACCCUUCUACAGCUAAACAUGCAUAAUUACCCAUCCCUUUUCACUAGCCAACCCCAAUGUUUAUUACAACUUAUUACAGGCCAAAUAAUGGAUUGCGUUAGAAAAAGUGUAAAGAAGAAGUUACAACCAGAGGAAGCCUGAUUCUUGACUUCCUCUCUGAGUUAUGGAAUAAACCACCUCAAAUGCCAUUGUUUCAAAGCCUUUCUUAGACUUGAGUGUGUCAAAGUUCCCUAAGGGUCUCAAGAGGACCCCGGGCAGUGCUCACACCCAAGUUUGCAUAACCAGAUAGAGAUGAGUGCAGUGUGGAAGAGCCAGCCUUUAUGUGUCCAAGUUUAGAGGGAGCUCAUGGGUCCCAAGGCAAGGCUCACAUAAGGGGGCAGACCUAAGUCUAAGAGUAUAGUGGAAGUGCAGAAGCAGAUAUUUGUUUAAAACUGGGUUGAGAAUAGCAAAGGGGUAAGGGUAGUUUGGAAAACAGUAGUAGUAUAACUAAAAUUAUACAGCUUCAGUAAUUGCUCAAAAGGGGCAGGGGUUUGGGAAUACAUUGCAGGUAGCAUAUGACCCUAGGAGGGGUCAAAUCUGGACAUGCACAACAAUAAGUGAUGCUGGCAUGCCCAUAAAUCAGCCAGAGGACACAACACAUAGAGAGGAUACGAAGCAUAUGAUCCAGGGAGGGUCAGGUUUGGGUCAUGCACAACAAUGUCUAAUGCUGGCAUGCCCUCAAACCAACCAAGGAAUACAAACACAUAGGGGAUAUGGGGGUUUGGGAUUCAUAAGUCAUCAUAGGUGACUGACAGAGUUCAAACAUUAGAAAAAUGUUAAUUCAGAAGAGGAAGGGGCAGAUCACAGCAUGCUUAAUAAUGGAACUCGAUUAAACACAAGCAGGAAACAGGCAAGAGUGCAAGAAAUAGUAAAGAAACAUGUUGUUGUUGAUGCUGAAGAUUAAUUAGAACAUACUAGUAAAGAAGCAAAUGCAGAAAGAAAGUAAGCAAAUUUCCCAUAGCCUAGCCUUGGCUUUCAGCCGGCGAGGUAAGACAGCAACACAAGUAGUAACAGAGAAAAAAGAGAGAGUUUUGAGUGAAGUGUAUGUUCUGAACUCAAGUGUUCGUGUCUUUUUUUUUGAAGAGGGGUGCAGGAUAUUUAUAGUUUUUGAAAACGAGUGAAGGAAAAGUAAUAAGAUACAAACAUGAAAACAAUCAUAGGUCAGAAUCAAUUACAGAAGUGAUUCCCUUUAAUUAAGGAAUCACUGUUUAACGGUAGUGACAGAUUCAAAAUAAAGAAAGAAAAUCAGUUUGUAAGCAGACUGAUUGUUGCCAUAAAAGGAGUAGUAAAACUAUUAAGUAAGCAAUCAAGUCUUAGUACAAAGAUAUGCUUAUUUUGGGAAAGAAAUUAGCAAGGUAAAUAUUACAGUAAAGGAAAAGAAUCAAUCAGCUUUGAACAGGCGAGUGAAAUUAGGGUUCAUAAAGGAAAAGCUUUAGAAAUCAAUCAUAAGAUGAAGAUCAAUCAAGGAAGAAACUCCAGCAUAUAAAUAGAGUGAACAAGACAUCAGACAUGCGAGGCCAAACCUAUUGGCAAAAGAAAUAGCAUUAGUAGCAGGAAUAAGCAUACAGUUCAGUAGAUAGUCAGGGCUCACACAUAUAGCCAAAGCAAAGAAGAGAGCCAAAAGCGAGUAAAGGUCUCACAGUAACAAGUGAGGAAACCUCUUGAAAAAGUUAGGGUUUCAACAACAAUUGAGUUUAAAGGAUAAUAAAACUCAUAAUCAAAUAACCUCACAAAGAAAAGAGCCAGAAACAAAGAACUUUAAUCGCAUCACAUGCAUGCUCAAACAAACAGUUCCAGGCCAAGAAGACCUAGGGUUUUCAGCAAUAAUCGAGUUUAAAAGAUGGUAAAUAGACAAGUCAAGAAAGAGUUUAAACAAACAACCACACAUCUAACAAACAUCUUCAGGACUCGAUUGAGACCCAAAAGAAAUUAGGGUUUUCAACAUGCUAACUCAGAUAGAAGCACAACACGAGCAAAACAUAGCAAAAUCACAAAUAUGUUAAAAAUUAGAGAAGAGAAACUUCGAAAAAAUGAAGAGUCGUUUUGAAAGCAAAGUUAAAGAAACUUCGAGAAAAUGUUUAAAAGUUCAAGGUAAUCACAGAUCUAAAGCAGAUCGGAAAGAAAGUUAAAAUAUCUUAAAGAUUAGGGUUUCGAAAAACCCAGAAAAGGUGAGAAAGGCACUGAAAGUUAUCGAUCUAACCAGGAGAGUCAAGGUUCUGACUCGAACGACCAUGGUUGGCCGGAGAAAAGGUCAAGGAUGACCGGAGAAGAGCCAUGAACUGAAAUCGAAUAAGGACUGGACCAGGCUUCUUCAAAGUCUGUCUGUGAAACCAUAAGAACAAACACAUAGAAGCCAUGGAAGGCUGGUACAUGUCUCAAAUGACCAUGGAAGGCCAUGGAUUAGGUAGAUAUCAGGGUGGGAUGAGAGGGCGACGACUAGGGUUCAUGAGAGUUUCAGAGAGAGUUGAGAGAGAAGGGGAUUCAAGGAUGGCGGUAGGUGAGAAAUGAAUUAGGUUUAGGGGUUGGUUUGGGUUAAAAAUGAUAAGGGGUAAUGGGAGUCGUUAAUCUAAACGAUCAACGGCUGGGAUCAAAGUGGUUAGGUGGGAAACCCGGGUUGGAUCAUUUAAACGGGUAAAGGGUCGGUUUAAUUAUAAAUUGGGUCGGGGUAAAUUGGGUUCAAAUUAGGCUGAAAUUGAAAUGAAAUCUGGCUAAAUUUUAAAUAACCAUUUUUCCCAUUUAUUUUAUAAAAAUAGCAAAUUAAAUUCUGGAAUUAAAUUGAAAGUACUAGAAUGUUUUAUAACAUAUAAUUAUCAAUUUAAAAAUACUGGACUUAAUUUUUAAAAAUGUCAACGCAAUUAAAUCUUAAAAGAGGCUAAUAUUGUAAUUAUAUGCAAUUUGGCUUUAAAAAUGCUAAAUAAAUUUGUAAAAAUAUGCAAAAAUUAUAUUAGCUAUAUUUUGGCAUAAAUAUGAGAACCCAAUAAAUGAAUCAUCAAAAUGCUAAUUUUGGGAAUUGUUAUUGGAUUUUUUUUGAAUAAAAAUAGGGAAAUAAAUUGAUUUAAAAAUCUUUAAAAAUUAAGGAAAAAUAAUAAAACAUUUGGACAUACUUAUAUAUGUGUACAUAUGAUAUUUUAAAAGUAUUUUGCNNNNNNNNNNNNNNNNNNNNNNNNNGUGCCCUGGCUUCUGAGCUACCUACGUAUCCCUGGUCUUACAAGAAUCAGGCCAUAUGAAUUUCCGGAUCCGUCGGCGGUGUAUGCCGAUGGAGACUCUUCAAGAAUGGAUGCAAUAUCCCGGACGGGGUGAGUGGACGGCUUGUGGGAACGGUUAAGGUUUGGUAUGGCUGCGGGAACUAGAGCGGGCUUGCUCCUACCGGGAUGGCCGUUGCUCUCCGGUGUACCUGCAAUUAGAAACAAUACAAGCAUAUAUUGUGCAUGAAUUUAAACGUGAUGCAAGUUACCGUCGAACCAUGAAUGUUGUCUUAAAAUGGUUAGGAUGACGUCCUUAGACCAUGAUGUCCUGGCCAUGAAGUGUGCAACAAAAGAUUCGCAGGCCAUGAAAUGAUGCUCUCGGGCUAUGAGGAUGGUGCCUCCGAACCAUGAUGCCUUUGAAUAAUGAUUCGCAAAAAAAAAAUUAGAAGGGAUCCUCAGGCCAUGACAUGGUGUUCUCGGGAUAUGAAAAUGGUGCCUCCGAACGAUGACGCCUUUGGAUAAUUUGGCAAUCUUUCAGCCUAUGAAAUGCAGUAUGUGGCGAUCUUUCAGCCCAUGAGAUGCAGUAUGUGGCAAUAUUUCAUCCAUACAAUGCAGUAGGAGGCGAUCUUUCAGCCCAUGAGAUGCAGUAUGUGGUGAUCUUUCAGCCAUGCAGUGCAGUAGGAGGCAAUCUUUCAGCCCAUGAGAUGUAGUAUGUGGCGGUCUUUCAGCUAUGCAGAUGCAGUAUGUGGCGACCUUUCAGCCAUGCAAUGCAGUAUGUGGCGAUCUUUCAUCCAUAAAGAUGCAGUUGGAGGUAGAGCUUAACCUCGGAAGGCAGAAUGGUAGCCUUAUGCAAUGCAGAAAUGCAGAUGGAGACAUCGUUUAGUCUCGGAAGGCAGAAUAGUAGCUUAUGCAGUGCAGAAAUGCAGAUGGAGACAACGUUUAGUCUCGGAAGGCAGGAUGAUAGCCUUAUGCAAGAAAUAAAAUGGCAAAUGGUAAUAGAGCUCUCUUAGCUGAUAGCAGAUUGUGAUAUUAUGACUGCUGAUGACCUUGUCACAUACAGAAUGUCACUGGUAUGUGUGUGGAUAGCAGAUGUGGGUAAGUGCAACGGUUUUGAGAGUUGUAUUCCUGAACAAUGUUUGUCUCAUGAGUGUAUAGUAUGUUUGAUGAUUUCGCAAUUCAAAUGCCUGCAUCCAAAGAAAAAUAGUGAGUUUUAUAAAGGGGGAAGGUUAGUUUGUAUCCCGCUGGCCCUGUUUGAUUUGCUCGGCUUUGAUCUGGUGAUACUGUAUGUAUCAUUGGGGUAGCAUUGCUAAACAAAUCAAUUUCAGUAAUAUGCAUGAUUUUGUAAAAAUAUGACAUAAUAAUAAUAAUUUUUUUAUAGAUGAAUCGAUGACUGUGACGCGGCUCAUGACAUUGCAACCUCUCUUGCUACGGAAUUUUGAGGGUCCUCCUCAAAAUUCUGCCCUAGUUUAAUAGGUUGAUGCUUCUGGCCGUUACUUGCGACGAUUGGCUGAAAUUACUCCGGCAUUUUGAGGGUCCUCCUCAAAAUUCUGCCCCAGUUUCCAAUAGCGGGGGAAAUGAGAAUUUUAUUGAAUUGUGACCGACCCCAUAGGGAUGUCUACGUAUCCCCUCUUAAACGGGAAUCAGGUCAGGCGUAGUUCAAAUUACAUCAUAUAAGGGAAGUAUAAAGAUUACACAUAGUAGCGCUUGACUGCAUCUGAGUUGAUUGGUUUUGGCCAGACUUAUCCGUCCAUUUAUGCAAGUAUGAGGGCUCCUCCUGUCAAAACCUGGUGAACCAUGUAUGGACCCUGCCAGUUAGGAGAGAACUUCCCCUUGGCUUCAUCUUGAUGCGGAAAAUUUUUCUUUAACACCAGCUAUCCCGGUGUGAACUGUCUCGACUUGACUCUUUUGUUGAAGGCUCUGGACAUUCUGUUCUGAUAAAGUUGACCACGACAAACCACAUUCAUUCUCUUUCUGUCUAUAAGGGCUAGUUGCUCACAACGACUUUUUACCCAUUUUGCGUCGUCGAGCUCAGCUUCUUGUAUGAUCCUUAGGGAAGAAAUUUUUACCUCAGUGGGAAUGACUGCCUCUGUACCAUAAACCAGCAUAUAGGGGGUUGCCCCAAUUAAUGUACGGACUGUGGUGCGAUACCUCAAUAAAGCAAAUGAUAACUUUUUGUGCCACUGUUUAUGCUUCUCUACCAUUUUCCUCAAUAUAUUCUUGAUAUUCUUGUUGGCGGCCUCUACAGCUCCAUUCAUUUGCGGCCUAUAGGCUGUGGAAUUCUUGUGUUUGAUCCUGAAGGUUUCACACAUAGCUUCCAUCAAGUCACUGUUGAGGUUGGAGCCAUUAUCAGUAAUGAUCGACUUUGGAACCCUGAAUCGAAAAACAAUGCGGUCGCGAACAAAGUUUGCCACGACUUUCUUAGUUACUGCUCUGUAAGAUGCUGCUUCGACCCAUUUGGUGAAAUAGUCGAUUGCUACUAAGAUAAACCUGUGCCCGUUGGAUGCAGCAGGCUCAAUUGGUCCAAUAACAUCCAUUCCCCAGGCGGCAAACGACCAUGGUGAGCUCGUUGCAUUAAGCUCAUUUGGAGGCACCUUUAUCAUGUCUGCAUGUAUUUGACUGCGGUGGCAUUUUCGGACAUACUGGAUCCCGUCCGAUUCUAUAGUCAUCCAAAAGUAACUAGCCCAUAUUAUCUUCUUGGUUAAGACAAAACCGUUCAUAUGUGGACCGCAGGUCCCAGCAUGAACUCCCUCUAGUAGCCUAGAUGCUUCCUUUGUGUCGACACACCUUAAUAAUCCUAGAUCAGGAGUCCUCCUAUACAAGAUUCCUCCACUGUGAAAAAUAUUAUUGUACAACCUCUAAAGCGUGCGUUUCUGAGUAGGGUUUGCAAACUCUAGGUACUCUCUUUUUUCCAAAUAUUCCUUGAUGUCAUAAAAUAAGGCUUUUCGUUUGCUUCUUCUUCAACAUGGGCACAAUAAGCUGGCAGAUCAUGGAUCUUUACUAGAAUGGGAUCAAUGUAAUUCUUGUCUGGAUGUUGUAUCAUAGACGACAUGGUAGCCAAUGCGUCGGCGAACUCAUUCUGGAUUCUGGGAACAUGCUGGAAUUCUGUCUUUGCGAACCUCUUUCUCAAUUCCUGUACAUGAUGCAGAUAUAGGAGUAUCUUGGAGUUCUUGGUUUCCCAUUUUUCUCAAUAGCCAUUUUAAGCCCUAAGAUGCAAACUUCAUAUUCAGCCAUGUUGUUGGUGGAUGGGAACCUGAGUUUGGCACACACCGGAUAAUGCUGACCGGUUUCUGAUACUAGGACUGCUCCUAUGCCAACUCCUUUGAAGUUUGCUGCUCCAUCGAAAUACAUUCUCCAACCAUCAUAGGAUUCUGCAAUGUCUUCUCCUAUGAAGGAUACCUCUUUGUUAGGAAAAUACGUUUUCAAGGGUUCAUAUCCUCCAUCCACGCGAUUCUCGGCAAGGUGAUCUGCUAGUGCCUAUCCCUUGAUUUCCUUAUGAGUCACGUAGACAAUGUCAAAUUCACUCAACAGGAUUUGCCAAUUGGCAAGAUUGCCAGUAGGCAUGGGCUUCUGGAAGAUGUAUUUCAAAGGAUCCAUCCUUGAUAUGAGAUAUGUGGUAUAGGCACAGAAAUAAUGUCUCAGCUUUUGGGCUACCCAAGUCAAAGCACAACAUGUGCGCUCUAACAGAGAAUAUCGGGCCUAGUAUGGGGUAAACUUCUUGCUGAGGUAAUAAAUGGCCUGCUCCUUCCUCCCCGUUUCAUUAUGCUUCCCCAGAACGCAACCAAAAGAUCCAUCCAAUACUACAAGGUAGAGUAAUAAGGGUCUACCUGACUCGGGGGGGACCAAGACUGGUGGUGUUGACAGGUAGUCCUUGAUUUUGUCGAAGGCCUUUUGGCAGUCAUCGAUCCAUUUGGUAGUAGCGUCCUUCUUCAACAUUUUAAAGAUUGACUCACAGAUAACUAUAGACUGUGCUAUAAACCGGCUGAUGUAGUUCAGUCUUCCCAAGAAACUCAUUACAUCCUUCUUGUUCUUUGGCGGUGGCAAUUUUUGAAUAGGUUUGACUUUUGAUGGAUCUAGUUCUAUUCCUCGGCGACUCACAAUAAAUCCAAGCAACUUUCCAGCAGGAACCCCAAAUGCGCACUUCGCGGGAUUUAGUUUCAGAUUGUACCUCCGCAGUCUAUUGAAGAACUUCCUUAAAUAUUCCAUGUGAUUAGUGGCCUUCUUGGACUUGAUGAUGACAUCAUCUACAUAUACCUCAAUCUCCUUGUGUAUCAUAUCAUGGAAAAUGGUAGUCAUGGCCCUCAUGUAGGUAGCCCCUGCAUUCUUCAGGCCGAACGACAUCAUUUUGUAAUAGUACAUUCCUCACGGCGUAAUGAAAUCAGUUUUCUCAAUAUCUUCUUAAUCCAUCUAGAUAUGAUGAUAACCAACGAAACAAUCUACAAAUGACUAUAGCUCAUGCUUGGCGCAAUUUUCAAUCAGGAUGUGUAUGUUUGGCAAAGGGAAGUCGUCUUUUCGACUGGCCCGAUUGAGAUCCCGGUAGUCGACACAGACUCGAACCUUCCCAUCUUUCUUUGGUACCGGUACGAUGUUGGCUAACCAUUUCAGGUAUUCUACUACCCUGAGAACCUUAGUUUUGAACUGCUUAGUGACUUCUUCCUUGAUUUUCAAACUCAUAUCAGGCUUGAACUUUCUAAGCUUUUGCUUUACCGGCGGACAUGUCGGAUCGGUUGGCAGUUUGUGAGCCACAAUAGACGUACUUAGACCAGUCAUGUCAUUAUACGACCAGGCGAAUAUGUCUUCAUACUGCUUCAGGAAUUCUGUGUAUUCUUUCUUUUCUGAUGGUGAUAGGUAAACGCCGAUUCGUGUUUCCUUGACGUUCUCUGCAUCUCCCAGGUUGACAAUUUUGGUCUCGUCCAGGUUGGAUUUAGGUCUGUUCUCAAAGUUCUCAACUUCUUUGACAAUCCCCUCUGGUAUGUCAUCUUCUUCUGAAUCAUUGUCCGUUUGUUGCGUUGUCUUAUUGCAUGUCACAGUCAUUGGUUCAUCAAGAUAGUAAUGUUGUAUAAGUAAAGUAAUGAGAGAAAAAUAAUAAUGAGUGUUGAUUCAUAAGAAAAGUCAAAAUACUUUGAUAAAUUGCAUAAUCGUUUUGAUCAUUAGAGAUCUUAUUGCAGGAAUUAAAAUGCGAAAGGAAAAUCAUUUAGUAAAUAAAAAUAGUGCAUGAUGCUUGUUUUAGCCUUGCUACCUCGAGGCUCGUCGGGCUCUGGUUGUCCUGAUGGUCCAGUUAUUGAGGCGUGCCCCUCUGCUUACGGCCUGUAUGGAAGGGCCUUCCUCCCCUUUCUCCUCGAGAACAACAUAGUAGUCCAUAUCAUUGUUUUCUAGGAACAAGUUCUUCAUCGAUGCCAGUGCUUCUUCUUCGUUUGACCUAUAAAUAAUAUCGGCUGGUUGGAAGGUGUGCUCCAGAUGUGAUAUUGGCUGCUCCAGUGGAUAGUAAGGACCGCGCCAUGGUAGUGACCAGUUAUUGAAUUCUUCCCAGGUGUACUCAUAUCCCAGAACAAAAGUAGUGCCAUGUUUCUUGAGCUUUAUGGGCUUAGCGAUUCCUUGGAGGUUCUUUCCGAGCCCCUUGCCAGGUUCGUGCCCACUCCAAUUUAGAAUAUUCUCGAUCUUGUUAUCCCACCAUUUGUCUUUGUCAACAACGUUUACCUGUUCAAUGUGAUAGUAAGUCUCUCCACCUAGCUUCCUUCUUCCUCCGAUUGCUGGAAUGGUCUGGUGACUGUAUAUAGGGUUGCUACCGUCGCCGUGAAUGAUCACUUCCUAGUGAUUUCAUUCGAACUUUAUUGCCUGAUACAGCAUUGGUGCUAUGGCCCCAGCAGCAUGAAUCCACGGCCGUCCUAGCAGCAAGUUGUAAGAUGCUGGCACAUCUAUCACCUGGAAAUCAACAUCGAACCAGGUUGGCCCCAUUUGCAAGCAUAGACUAAUCUCCCCAAUGGUGGACCUUUGGGAACCAUCGAAAUCUUUCACAUUGAUAGCUCCAUCUUUUAUCUCAUGCAGUCCUUUACCCAACUUCUUGAGUGUUACCAGUGGACAAAUGUUAAGGCUAGAACCCCCGUCGAUCAGGAUCCUGGUGAUGAAAUAGUCCUCGCAUUGCACGGUGAUGUGCAGUGCCUUGUUGUGCCCCAGCCCCUCGAGCAGCAGCUCAUCCUCAUGAAAAGUGAUCUUAUGGCUCUCCAACACCUGUCCUACCAUGUUAGCCAUUUCUCCGCCAGUGAUGUUGCUUGGUACAUAUGCUUUACUUAGCACCCUUAGUAGAGUGUUCUUGUGUGCCUUGAAAUUUUUUAGCAAAGCAAGAAUGGAGAUUUGCGCCGGUGUUUUGUUCAACUGGUCGAUGACUGAGUAUUCCUUGGCCUGUAUCUUUCUUCAAAGAUCGUCUGGACCUGUCUCAAUGAUGGGUGACCGAUUGGAUUCCUGCUUGCUUGACUCAACUAGAUGUUCCGGGUUAUAGACUCUACCAGUUCUUGUCAUACCCUGUGCCGCAACAGUCUCUUCGAACCUAACCUUGCCUUUCCUUCUUGUCUCGACUGUAUAGUCCCAGGGUACAACCUUUGUAUGGAAUGGUUCCAUGGUCGACAUCACCACUAGGAUCGGUGUGGCUAUCCUUACUCCGAAUGGAGCAUGUGCCUUGGGUGGUAAAACUACAACUUCAAACGGCGUGGGUGCAUUUGCUGGAGACAUGAAUUCGACCUCAAUUGUCACUGGUGUCUUUGUAGAUGAUGUUGCUUCAAACUCAAGUAGCACAAACAUAUUUACCUAGGCGUCCCCAGAUGGUUGGAUCUGGACUAUGAUUUGAUUAAGAGUAACUAUUGGCUUCUUUGGGUCAUCGCCUUCUGCGAUCAACCCGAUUGAUCCCUCGGGAUCCCAGUCAACUUCUAUUUCAAUCAUGUGGAUGCCUCCACCCUUAUGAUCGGGCAGGGGAUUAUUGCGGACAUUUGGAGCGGGUUACUUUGUCACAAUAAUCUUGUUAUCAAUUAAAGUCUGGAUCUUGUCUUUCUAGGAACGACAUUUGUUGAUGGUGUGCCCUUUCAUGCCGGAGUGGUAUGCACAUGAUUUGUUUGGGUUAACCCACUGAGAAGGGUUCUCAGGAGUUGCAGUAAGGAUGGGGUUGACAUAACCAACAGCUUUGAGUCUCUCAUACAACUGGUCAAUAGGCUCAACGAUAGCUGUUUAUUGUUUUGGAGGUUUGUGAUCAAAAUUUGGUCGAGGUCUAGGGAAGUUUUGACGGGCGGGAGGUGACUGAUAGUGGGAUGGUUGAGUAUUGUAAGUUUGGUAGACAUGUGCGGGUUGGGAAUAUCUGGGCGAAGUAGGCUGAUAUAUGGGAGGUAAAGGUGAUUGACAAGUGGGUGGUGGAGCUUGAUAGGAGGGUGAUGAUGCUUGGUAGUUCAGAGUUGGUUGAUAUGUGAGUGGAGGUGUUGGGUAAGUUUGGUAUUUGAUGGAAGAUUUGGUUCUCCGUGCAACCAUUACGGCCACCACGUCCCUUUUCUUGGACACACCACCAGACUGUAAGGCCUUAUUUGUAGCUUGCAAGGCCUCGAAGUUUGUAACCAUACUGCUUUUGAUGCCCUCUUCAAUCCUUUCACCCAGCUUGAUAAUGUUGGAAAAUUUGUGGCUCUCAAUCAUCACGAGUCAUUCAUGAUACUGCGGGUCCUGAGCCCAGACAAAGAAUUUGUUCAUCUGUUCCUCUUCUAAGGCAGGUCUGACCUUAGCAUCUUCGGACCUCCAGCUAGUAGCAUACUCGCGAAAUGUUUCUGUGGGUUUUUUCUUUAGAUUCUAAAUAUAGAACACGUCCGUCGCAUUCUCUGUGUUAAACCUGAACUUGUCCAUAAAGUCGGAUGCCAUGCCUACCCAGUAUGACCACUUCUUCGGAUCUUGGCUAAUGUACCAAGACAAAGCAUCUCCUUUCAAACUCCUCAUGAACAACUUCAUGUGGAUUCUCUCGUCUUUCCCUACUCCAACCAGCUUGUCACAGUACGUUCUCAAAUGUACCCUUGGAUCCCCUGUACCAUCAAACAUCUCGAACUUAGGAGGUUUUUACCCCCCGGGCAGAUCCACAUCGAGCUGUAUGCAAAGAUCUUCAUAGUUCAGCCCCUCAAUUCCCUUGCUUCCUUCAAUGCCUUGAAUCCAGCUAGUCAAUUUCUUAAGUUCCUCAGCUAGGUUCCUAAUGAGUAAGUCUUUAUCAUCAGACUCGGGUGUGCUUGAUAUAGGUUGGGUGGUGUGUGGCAUGGUCUCCACGUAGAUGGGGGUGUUAUGGUGGGUGCAAAAGUGGUCAUUUGUGGAGUUUUGGGGUUCUGGGAUGAGUAGUGGAGUGUUGUUUGGGAGAUGGCAGGUGUUGCAGUGAUGGUGAGGAGCGGGAUGGCUCUGCGGUUUUGGGGUAUUUUGCAGAGGUGUGGGGUUCUGAGAAUUUAGGAAAUUGAUAUCUGGAGUGGUGAGGGAAAAUGACAAAUUUGCCAAGUUCCAAACCUGAUCAAGCUCUUCUUGGAAUUUCAGCAGUUUUUGUUCAAGUUGAGAUGCAUUUUCCUUAGGAACCUGAGUACCAUGACCAUUGGUGACCUCUACCCAUUCAGUUGAAUUCUCCUUUCUAACGUUGUUCAAAUUUUCCAUCUUCCCUUUGUUCUUGUUUUUGACAGGACUAAGAGGAGGGGUCGGUGGAGGGCCCUUAGAUCUCAUGGAAUAGGAUGAUGUUGCUAGAGUGCACGAACUAACCUUUGGGGAGGGGAAUAAUAAAACAAAAAGUAAAAACAAAAAGGCAACAAGUUAGUAAGGAUUAUAAUAAGUGUUGCAAUAUUUAAACACAUAGUGCGGAAUGUAAAACGUGUCCUAAUUUGGGAACCUCUUUGUGCCCAAGGAAGGCCUAGCAACAAAUUAAUUUGGAGAACUUAGAAUGCUAAAUGCCUCAUUUUAUUGAUAGAAAAUAAGAUGAAGCCAAGUUGACACUAAGUAAAUAGGAAAUGAAAAAAAAAUCACUAAUGGCCAUUGGCCUUAUUACAUUUUAAAACGAAAAGACAAACUCCUAUCUACUUGGUCCCAAAAGGACCUUCCCCAGAUUCGGCAUCUUUGGCUCCAUCAAACAGCUUCCCCAACUCGCGAAGUCCCAACAAUAGGUAAGCUCUGGCUAGAUGUCCACCUUUGUUUCCUUCAGCAUUUGGUAGUAGACCCUCUUGAGAAACUUUCUUUCCAAUUCCACUAUGCCUCGCUCCAAAUAUCCCAGUCACUUAUUGGCACUGACAGCCAUGUCCUUCCAUUCCUCAAUUAGCUUCUGGUUGGACUCUUAUGUCUCACGGUGCUCGCUUUCGUACUCUUGGAUUCUUUUGCAUAGUUGAUUGUAUUUGACCUGUGCCUCGACCCUUUCAUCUAUAAUCCUGUGACCUCGAGCAAACCCUGGCUGGCCCAGACCAUCAUGAUUGUCUUCCAACCAACCUGAGUAGAAAGGAGCGCAACCAGCAUGAUACAUGUCUGGUUCGAUGGUAUCUCUCCCCAUUAUGAUCUUGCAGUGCCACAUAUGCUGAGCUUGGCACUUGUAAGGACUAUCAUCAUUCUAGAAAUCAGCCCAGAAAUGACUCAUCUUGUCGACCCUAGGUAUAAACUGCUUCCUACCAGCCUGUCUCAUAACUCGGAGAGGGACAUAAGGGUAUGUUCCUCUCAGCCCAAUCAAUAUCAGGAAAGGUGCGUCUCGGGAUCGGGUGAUGAACUCCUCGGUCGGGAACCACUCGAACAUCCAUUGGACCUAUUCUUCAGCCAGAUUAUCAAACAAAUCAACCUAUCCUUUGGCAUCCUACGGUUGAGUGAACAUAUCGGGGACAUAAUUCAUUCGCUUCGGAUGAUGGAAAGCGAUGUGAUCAUCCCAGUCCCUUCGCUGAAUCUCUUGUCGGUAUUCGCUCCUUUGGAGAUGUUCCAUGAGCCAAAGUUGAAGUAAUAAAUUGCAGCCUUCGAAGUAUUUUGCACCUCGUUGACACUUCUUCAAGGCUCUAUAUAUGUCGGCAACGAUCAUGGGCACGAUGCUGAAUGGAUGCCCACCGAUCCUUUCCAUUAAGGUCUUAGUUACCAUAGCCAGCCUGGUGUGGAUUCUUGCUUUCUUCAUCGGAAACACGAUCAGCCCUAGGAAACAAAACAUGAAUUCGAAGACCCUUCGGUGGAUGUGCCCCAAUGAUGUGAUGGCAAACUCGUCAAGGUAGGUAUGGUAGGAUUUGUUGUGACCGUACCUUUCAUACAAAUAGUCAAAAGGGAUGUAGGACUUCUUCAGACAUGUCAAUUCUGGAUUCUUCUUUAAACCCAUCAUUUUGAGGAAGCCCCUGCCCUUGCGGUUCUCAGGCAUCAGCAAACCCGGAGUUUCCCACACUAGACCAGCUAAUCCUCCUAUCUCCUCUAGCAAGGGUGUCAUUUCAAUGUCCUAAAGCGGAACACAGCCCUUUCACAAUCCCAAAAUAGUGUGGCAGCUUCUAUGAUCUUGUUAUUGGGUUGGAUUUCUAGGAGGGAAGGCAGAUUUCCCAAAUAUUUUCGGACAAGAGUUUGAUCACUAGAGUGAAGCUCUUUCCACCAUCUUAGCAGUCUUGGGUGGAUGUUGGUGAUCAUGCCAAAUCUAGGGACUUCGUGCCUCAUAUUUCUGCAAGACAAAUAAGGUUAGGCCCUUACUCCCACUAGACUCGACUAUUUAAUACCAAAAAUUAGUAUAAAGCAUUUAGUUCUCCAAAUAAAUGCACAGAACGUGGUGAUGUCCGUUUGGGUUCAGGGAAACUCGGCGGAUUUUGGACAAGGCUAUCUUAAAAGAUCAUUAUGUAGACAACAUAACUGACCCGACUAGGUGUGACCAUGAUAUAUGCACAGUUUGAACAGAGUAAGGUUUCUAUGGGGUUUUAGACUGGUACCCUUGAGCGGACAACACUAAGGGGGAAGGCACGGAACCGUCGACUGCACCGCUGAUCGACGGGUUUUACCACAAAUAUGCCUUUCCGAAUUUAGGGGUGAUAAUAUAGGAAGAGCGCAACCACUCAUUAUAAGCAUUGCUGUGGUAUUUGUUUGGCACGAGUGGAGUAUGAUGUUGAGCAUGGUUAUGCAAUAAUUAAAAGCAUGUUGGCACGUGUUUGCACGUUAAGAAAGCAGUAAAUACAACAGUUUCAUAAUUUAAAGCAGUAAUAAAAGAAAGGAACAAAGGAGACAAGUCAGUUUUGCAGUUGGGAAGGAAAUCGAAUGCUUAAAGGAAUUAAACAAGUAAUUGCACAUAAGGAGGUACAAAUUCACAAAAACAAUCUGAAAUGGUAAAAGCCUAAAUAUCCCCAGCAGAGUUGCCAUGCUAUCACGCCCCCUUUUCCCCCUCUUAUGCAUCGGGAGAUCGGGUUUAUGACAUUUUAGGACAACUCAUUCCUUUUGGGAACUGGGUUUUGCAUUUGAAGAGUCUCCACCUAAUGAUUUAAGGUGUAUUAGGACACCUAUAAGGGUUCAAUUCUAAGUUCGUUUGAUAACCAGAGAUAGGGU